rnacentral:tRNA from 1 species
GGAUAUAGCUCAGUGGUAGAGCACUUGCUUAGCAUGCAUGAGGUCUGAGUUUAAUCUCCAGUACCGCCA